GGGCCUAUAGCUCAGCUGGUUAGAGCAUCCGGCUCAUAACCGGAUGGUCCCUGGUUCAAAUCCAGGUGGGCCCA
rnacentral:tRNA from 1 species